GUUUUUUUCCUUUCACUUUGAUUGAUUUUUGUGAAAUUGUUGUAAUUUUGGGUGUUGAAUGAAUUGGGGAUAUUGCAGAUGGGAAGAACAGUGAUGCUACUAGGUCCAAGCACUCGAUGACGGAGCAACAUAGAAGGAACAAGAUUAAUGAAAGGUAUGUGUUUGUUUUAUCAUAAUUAUUGUUUUUGUAUUUGAUAUAUUUAAGUUUAUACCUUUUGUGGAGUAUGUUUAGUUUCUUAUAGUAAUACAUACUCCCUUUAAUAAUAUGUUUUUUGGUCAUUGGUGGAUUGUAGUUUGUGAUUUGAUGAAAUUAGUUUGAUUACAGUGGAAACACUCGAAAUGAAAUGAAAGGGAUAUAUGUAGCAGGGUUAAAGUAAUCAUGAGAUGAAGGUAUGAAAGAUGUGAGUUGUGAUCUGUACGUUUUAGAUCCAAUUUCUUAAAUCCUCAAAAUUCAUGAAAUAUUUAUCAACAACGUCAGAGAAGAUGAAAUCUACUAAAGGGCAUCAAGAAGACGAUUAUGGCGCCAAAAAGAUAAUUACCCAUCUUCAAAAGGCAUGUUUUUUCCUUUCAUUUUGAUUGAUUUUUGUGAAAUUGUUGUAAUUUUGGGUGCUGAUUGAAUUGGGGAUAUUGCAGAUGGGAAGAAUAGUGAUGCUACUAGGUCCAAGCAUUCUGAUUUGUAAUCAACAUUGUUCUUUUUUCGUGAUUUCAUUUUUUUGCUUUGUGAUUGGUAUGAUUUGCAGGUGGAUGUUGCGAUGUUAGUUGUUCUUUGUUAGGGUUUACGCAGAGCAACAAGUUAAGGCACUCAUGGGUUAAUGCUUUUCAAUUACUACAGCUAUUUCAUUUUUUUUCUUGGGAAAUUUUGUUGGAUUUUUGUUGCUGCGACUGCUGAUACCAUCUUUCUAUAUCUGUUAUUUGUCGUUUUUCGCUUGAUUUUUUAGUAUUUUGGUGAUAUCAGUGCAACAUAACUUUUUUGUUACUUGAAUUGCACUGGUGCAUCCGUGUUGGGCAGUUCUUAUUGUUACUUAAUUCUCGCUCUCACAUGACACAACAUCUAAAAUGGGUAUAUGUGUUUUUGCAGUCUGUGUCAAAUUGUGUACGGGUCAAAAUGGGCAGCUUUAAAAAUCAUUUCAAAUGGGUUCGGGUCAAAACGGGUUGGCUUAGAAAGGGUUUUUUAUGUUGGUUAGUGGUGGCAGCGGUGGUGUCGUCAUGUCAACUGCUGUGGUGGCAUCAACAUCGACUGGUCAUCAAAGACAUUCAUCAAGGACACUAAGUUUUCGGGGACUAUAUAUCAAUGGCGGACUGUGUGACGUUGGGUCUCAUUAUCAUA